CAGGUUGCCGGGAGAGCCGUUGUACAAACGGCCAAUCUCCUGUCCUGGAACGACCUCCGGGAGCUGGCUGAGAAACAGGAGACGUGGAGGAUCGCGGAGUGCUUGCUGCAGCGGGACCAGAGCAGGGCAGAGGAAUACCUGCAGCAGAGCCAGCCCUACCUGCAGGACCCUCAGGGGGCCUUGCGAGAGGAGGCCGUGAGGUUCAUUGGGCUUGCUGCGCGCUACUCAAGGGACCAGAGCGAGGAGAAGCUAGAGGACAUCAUCAGGGCCCUCAUGCCUUUGGCCAGUGACGCGGAGAGCUCAGUCCAAUGCUUGGCAGCUCAGACCACACUGAUCCUCAGGACAGCCUCGAGGACAGCGACGUCACGACGGAGCCUGCGAGCGCUGUGCUGUCUGUUCUGCUUGAGCUGCAGCACUCCUCUGACAGCUCUGUCCCUCAGAGGAGCACAGCAAACCCCAGUGCCCUGCUGCCCUUCACACCUGGGACAUCCCUGCGCGUGCUCAGCAGGCACCGCCAUUCCUGGCCUCUGUUCCUGGCUGCAGGACAGCACAGCACAUUCUUUUUGUAUAUGCAUGUGUUUAAUAAAAUCUUUUUAAAUAUUCAUAUUUGUGGGCAACAAUCCCAUACAACUUGCAGGAUAUUUGUCCUUUUCUCCUUGAAACUCAUGCAGCAGUGUCUGGUUCCAUGGAAGUGGUUGCAAUUCGAAACGAGUUCUCGUGGUGCUCAUCAGAGAUUUUGGAUCUAGGUUUGCUCUUGGGUUCUCCCAGGGGAGAUCAUGCUGAGCCAAGCUGGUAGCUUUCUCGGAUGUCACCAGUGGCUGGGCAGAUGGGCAGAGAGCAGUGGAGGUUGCGUACCUCGUCUUCAGCAAGCUCAGCUGGCUGUCAUCAGUGGUGCUGAGUCUGGCUGGCGGCCUGCGAGUAGCGGUGCUAGGGCUUUGGACUGCCCGCGUUGCUGCUGAUGCGCACACCUCCUGGCUGCAGUGCUGCUGCUGUGUAUCCCUGCACGGUCCCUGCUGGAGCAUGAAACCCACAGGAGAGGAGGAGCAGAGAAGCUACAGCCCACACAAGGAGCUUCUGAUGUCUUCUGAGUGUAAGGUUUCAUCCUGCAAAAAUGACCAAGGUGAGGAG